UACGAAGGGGGCUAGCGUUGUUCGGAAUCACUGGGCGUAAAGGGCGCGUAGGCGGCUUUAUAAGUCGGGGGUGAAAGCCUGUGGCUCAACCACAGAAUUGCCUUCGAUACUGUAUGGCUUGAGACCGGAAGAGGUAAGUGGAACUGCGAGUGUAGAGGUGAAAUUCGUAGAUAUUCGCAAGAACACCGGUGGCGAAGGCGGCAUCCUGGACCGGCAUUGACGCUGAGGCGCGAAAGCCAGGGGAGCAAACGGG
rnacentral:rRNA from 1 species